CUGAGUGGUUUUGGCCGCAUUGUUGACUUCAAGCAGCACUCGGCUUCUGCACGUAGAACCCGGGAGUCAGAAGACUCAUAAUUGAAUCUCUUCUCCCUCCCACCUCCUGUGAGAUUUUUUUGAUCUUCAGCUACAUUUUUUCGGCUUCGUGAGAAACCUUAGCAUCAAACGCAAUGGCUAGCAAGGUCACCAACAAGACAGAUCUUCGCUCCAUGAACUCCCGUAUAUUCAUUGGGAAUCUCAACACUCUUGUGGUCAAGAAGUCUGAUGUGGAGGCAAUCUUCUCGAAAUAUGGCAAAAUUGUGGGUUGCUCUGUUCACAAGGGCUUUGCCUUCGUUCAGUAUGUUAAUGAGCGAAAUGCCUGGGCUGCUGUAGCAGGAGAGGAUGGCAGAAUGAUUGCUGGCCAAGUUUUAGAUAUUAAUGUGGCUGCAAAGCCAAAAGUGAAUCGAGGAAAAGCAGGUGUGAAACAAUCUGCAGCGGAGAUGUACAGGUCAGGACCAGAACACUCUUCUCCGUCCCCUCUCCUCAGCUCCUCUUUUGACUUGGCCUAUGACUUUCAAUGGGAUUAUUAUGACAGGAUGUACAGUUACCCAGCAUGUGUUCCUCCUCCUCCUCCUCCUCCUCCUCCUCCUCCUCCUCCUCUUGCUUGGGCUGUGGUACCCUCAAAACACCAGUGUGUAUCAGGAAACACCUCACAAAGGGGGGAAAGUGGCUUCAAUUCUAAGAGUGGACAGCAGGGUUCUUCUUCCAAGUCUGGAAAGUUGAAAGCAGAUGACCUUCAGGCCAUUCAGAAGGAAUUGACUCAGAUAAAACAAAAAGUGGACUCUCUACUGGAAAACCUGGAAAAACUUGAAAAGGAACAGAGCAAACAAGCAGUAGAGAUGAAGAAUGAUAAGUCAGAAGAGGAGCAGAGCAGCAGCUCCCAGAAGAAAGACGAGACUAAUGUGAAGAUGGAGUCUGAGGGGGGGGUGCAGAUGACUGCUGAGAAGGGGGACCUACUGGAUGAUGAUGAUAAUGAAGAUCAGGGGGAUGACCAGCUGGAGUUGAUCAAGGAUGAUGAAAAAGAGGCUGAGGAAGGAGAGGAUGACUCUUAAGCACAUAGUGGGGUUUAGAAAUCUUAUCCCAUUAUUUCUUUACCUAGGCACUUGUCUAAGAUCAAAAUUUUCACCAGAUCCUCUCCCCUAGUAUCUUCAGCACAUGCUCACUGUUCUCCCCAUCCUUGUCCUUCCCAUGUUUAUUAAUUCAUACUGCCCUGCGCCUAGUCCCAUUUUCACUUCCUUUGAUGCUCCUAGUAGUUUUAAGUCUUAGCCUGUAACUUUUUGCUUUUAAUUUUGAUACCUCGUUGAUUUAACAA